AAUACGUUCCCGGCCUUGUACACACCGCCCGUCAAGCCAUGGAAGCUGGGGGUACCUGAAGUCGGUGACCGCAAGGAGCUGCCUAGGGUAAAACUGGUAACUGGGGCU
rnacentral:rRNA from 1 species